rnacentral:rRNA from 1 species
CCUACGGGUGGCAGCAGUGAGGAAUAUUGCUCAAUGGGCGGAACCCUGACCCAGCCAAGUCGCGUGCGGGAUGGAGGCCCUACGGGUCUUACACCGCUUUUGCACGGGGGUAACACCCUCCACUUGUGGAAGUCUGCACGUACCGUGCGCAUACUGGCCGGCUAAUUCCGUGACCGCAGCCGCGGUCAUACGGAGGUCCCGAGCGUUAUCGGGAUUCAUUGGGCUUACCGGGAAGGUAAGCGGGCGUUCAAGUCACAUCGAAAAUCUCGCGUCUCAACCGCGACCCGCAGUUGAAACGUGACUCCUUGAGUGCAGAAGAGGCAGGCGGAAUUCGUGGUGUAGCGGUGAAAUGCGUAGAUAUCACGAGGAACCCCGAUGGCGAAGACAGCCUGCCGGGGUGCGACUGACGCUGAGGCUCGAAGGUGUGGGUAUCAAACAGGAUUAGAUACCCUUGUAGUC